rnacentral:rRNA from 1 species
UAAGGAAUAUUGGACAAUGGAGGCAACUCUGAUCCAGCCAUGCCGCGUGAAGGAAUAAGGCCCUAUGGGUUGUAAACUUCUUUUAUCUGGGACGAAAACGGGAUUUUUAUCUCAAUUGACGGUACCAGAGGAAUAAGCACCGGCUAACUCCGUGCCAGCAGCCGCGGUAAUACGGAGGGUGCGAGCGUUAUCCGGAUUUACUGGGUUUAAAGGGUGCGUAGGUGGGCUUAUAAGUCAGUGGUGAAAUCUCCGAGCUUAACUUGGAAACUGCCGUUGAUACUAUAGGUCUUGAAUUAUCUGGAGGUAAGCGGAAUAUGUCAUGUAGCGGUGAAAUGCUUAGAUAUGACAUAGAACACCAAUUGCGAAGGCAGCUUACUACAUAUAAAUUGACGCUGAGGCACGAAAGCGUGGGGAUCAAACA